UGCGCAGGCGGUUGUGCAAGACAGAUGUGAAAUCCCCGGGCUUAACCUGGGAAUGGCAUUUGUGACUGCACGGCUAGAGUGUGUCAGAGGGGGGUAGAAUUCCACGUGUAGCAGUGAAAUGCGUAGAUAUGUGGAGGAAUACCGAUGGCGAAGGCAGCCCCCUGGGAUAACACUGACGCUCAUGCACGAAAGCGUGGGGAGCAAACAGGAUUAGAUACCCUGGUGGUCCACGCCCUAAACGAUGUCAACUAGUUGUCGGGUCUUAAUUGACUUGGUAACGCAGCUAACGCGUGAAGUUGACCGCCUGGGGAGUACGGUCGCAAGAUUAAA
rnacentral:rRNA from 1 species